GACGAACGCUGGCGGCGUGCUUAACACAUGCAAGUCGAGCGGUGAAGCACCUUCGGGUGUGAAUUAGCGGCGAACGGGUGAGGAACACGUGAGAAAUCUGCCUUCAACACUGGGAUAACUCCGGGAAACCGGGGCUAAUACCGGAUAUGAAACCUGCGGGCAUCCGCGGGUUUGGAAAGUUUUUCGGUUGAAGAUGAUCUCGCGGCCUAUCAGCUUGUUGGUGAGGUAAUGGCUCACCAGGGCGACGACGGGUAGCCGGCCUGAGAGGGCGACCGGCCACACUGGGACUGAGACACGGCCCAGACUCCUACGGGAGGCAGCAGUGGGGAAUAUUGGGCAAUGGAGGAAACUUUGACCCAGCGACGCCGCGUGCGGGAUGAAGGCCUUCGGGUUGUAAACCGCUUUCAGCAGGGAAGAAGCGAAAGUGACGGUACCUGCAGAAGAAGCACCGGCUAACUAUGUGCCAGCCGCCGCAGUAA
rnacentral:rRNA from 1 species